ACGCUCGACACCUACGGAGGCAGCAGUGGGGAAUAUUGCACAAUGGGGGAAACCCUGAUGCAGCGACGCCGCGUGAGUGAAGAAGUAUUUCGGUAUGUAAAGCUCUAUCAGCAGGGAAGAAAAUGACGGUACCUGACUAAGAAGCCCCGGCUAACUACGUGCCAGCAGCCGCGGUAAUCUGAGCGGGCUGGCAAGGC
rnacentral:rRNA from 1 species